UACGUAGGGGGCAAGCGUUGUCCGGAAUCAUUGGGCGUAAAGAGCGUGUAGGCGGCCCGAUAAGUCCGCUGUGAAAGUCCAGGGCUCAACCCUGGAAUGCCGGUGGAUACUGUCGGGCUCGAAUCCGGAAGAGGUGAGUGGAAUUCCUGGUGUAGCGGUGAAAUGCGCAGAUAUCGGGAGGAACACCGGUGGCGAAGGCGGUUCUCUGGGCCUUACCUGACGCUGAGGAGCGAAAGCGUGGGGAGCGAACAGG
rnacentral:rRNA from 1 species